GGAGACACAGGGAUUGCCCUAGUAACGGCGAGUGAAGCGGCAACAGCUCAAAUUUGAAAUCUGGCCCUUGGGUCCGAGUUGUAAUUUGUAGAGGAUGCUUUUGGUGAGGUGCCUUCCGAGUUCCCUGGAACGGGACGCCAUAGAGGGUGAGAGCCCCGUCUGGUUGGACACCGAGCCUCUGUAAAGCUCCUUCGACGAGUCGAGUAGUUUGGGAAUGCUGCUCUAAAUGGGAGGUAUAUGUCUUCUAAAGCUAAAUAUUGGCCAGAGACCGAUAGCGCACAAGUAGAGUGAUCGAAAGAUGAAAAGCACUUUGAAAAGAGGGUUAAAUAGUACGUGAAAUUGUUGAAAGGGAAGCGCUUAUGACCAGACUUGAGCCCGGUUAAUCAUCCAGCCUUCUGGCUGGUGCACUUGGCCGGCUCAGGCCAGCAUCAGUUCGGCGCGGGGGAUAAAGACUUCGGGAAUGUGGCUCCUCCGGGAGUGUUAUAGCCCGUUGUGUAAUACCCUGUACUGGACUGAGGUUCGCGCAUCUGCAAGGAUGCUGGCGUAAUGGUCAUCAGCGACCCGUCUUGAAACACGGACCAAGGAGUCGUCUUCGUAUGCGAGUGUUCGGGUGUCAAACCCCUACGCGUAAUGAAAGUGAACGCAGGUGAGAGCUUCGGCGCAUCAUCGACCGAUCCUGAUGUUCUCGGACGGAUUUGAGUAAGAGCAUACGGAGCCGGACCCGAAAGAAGGUGAACUAUGCCUGUAUAGGGUGAAGCCAGAGGAAACUCUGGUGGAGGCUCGCAGCGGUUCUGACGUGCAAAUCGAUCGUCAAAUAUGGGCAUGGGGGCGAAAGACUAAUCGAACCUUCUAGUAGCUGGUUUCCGCCGAAGUUUCCCCUCAGGAA
rnacentral:rRNA from 1 species